CCUACGGGCGGCAGCAGUGGGGAAUAUUGGACAAUGGGGGGAACCCUGAUCCAGCCAUGCCGCGUGUGUGAAGAAGGCCCUCGGGUUGUAAAGCACUUUCAGUGAGGAAGAACGCCUGGUGGUUAAUACCCAUCAGGAAAGACAUCACUCACAGAAGAAGCACCGGCUAACUCCGUGCCAGCAGCCGCGGUAAUACGGAGGGUGCGAGCGUUAAUCGGAAUUACUGGGCGUAAAGCGCGCGUAGGUGGCUUGAUAAGCCGGUUGUGAAAGCCCCGGGCUCAACCUGGGAACGGCAUCCGGAACUGUCAAGCUAGAGUGCAGGAGAGGAAGGUAGAAUUCCCGGUGUAGCGGUGAAAUGCGUAGAGAUCGGGAGGAAUACCAGUGGCGAAGGCGGCCUUCUGGACUGACACUGACACUGAGGUGCGAAAGCGUGGGUAGCAAACAGGAUUAGAUAUCCUGGUAGUC
rnacentral:rRNA from 1 species